GAUGAACGCUGGCGGCGUGCCUAAUACAUGCAAGUCGAACGGAAAGGCUCGUGCUUGCAGUGGUAGUUGAGUGGCGAACGGGUGAGUAACACGUGGGUAAUCUGCCCUGCACUGCGGGAUAACCCUUGGAAACGAGGGCUAAUACCGCAUAACACCAUGUUUCGCAUGCCAUUUUUGAAAGAUUGUUAGCUGUGGGAUGACCUCGAGGCCUAUCGGCGUGUUGGUGGGGUAAUGGCGUACCAACGCGUCGACGGGUCGCCGGCCUGAGAGGGUGAACGGGCACAGUGGGACUGAGGUACGGCCCAGACGCCUACGGGAGGCAGGGGCGGAAAAUAUUGCGAAAUAGGCGCAAGCCUGAUGGAGCGAUGUCGGGUCGGGGAUGACGGUCUUCGGGUUGUAAACACCUUUCGAUAGGGACGAACAGAAAGUGACGGUACCUGGAGAGAAAGCACCGGCUAACUACGUG
rnacentral:rRNA from 1 species